UACGUAGGGGGCAAGCGUUGUCCGGAUUUACUGGGCGUAAAGAGCGUGUAGGCGGCCACGCAGGUCCGUUGUGAAAACUGGAGGCUCAACCUCCAGCUGUCGACGGAAACCGUAUGGCUAGAGUCCGGAAGAGGAGAGUGGAAUUCCUGGUGUAGCGGUGAAAUGCGCAGAUAUCAGGAAGAACACCAAUGGCGAAGGCAGCUCUCUGGGACGGUACUGACGCUGAGGAACGAAAGCGUGGGGAGCGAACAGG
rnacentral:rRNA from 1 species